rnacentral:rRNA from 2 species
UAAGCAUAUCAAUAAGCGGAGGAAAAGAAACCAACAGGGAUUGCCUCAGUAACGGCGAGUGAAGCGGCAACAGCUCAAAUUUGAAAUCUGGCUCCCCUUGGGGGUCCGAGUUGUAAUUUGGAGAGGAUGUUUCUGGCGCGGCGCCUACCGAAGUUCCUUGGAACAGGACGCCACAGAGGGUGAGAGCCCCGUACGGUUGGCCGCCUAGCCUGCACGAAACUCCUUCGACGAGUCGAGUAGUUUGGGAAUGCUGCUCAAAAUGGGAGGUAAAUUUCUUCUAAAGCUAAAUACCGGCCAGAGACCGAUAGCGCACAAGUAGAGUGAUCGAAAGAUGAAAAGCACCUUGAAAAGAGGGUUAAACAGUACGUGAAAUUGUUGAAAGGGAAGCGCCUGCGACCAGACUCGCGCCCCGCGGACCAGCCGGCGUUCUCGCCGGUGCACUCCGCGGGGUGCGGGCCAGCAUCGGUUCUCCCUGGGGGAGAAAGGCUGCGGGAAUGUAGCUCCUUCGGGAGUGUUAUAGCCCGUGGCGCCAUGCCCCAGGGGGGACCGAGGACCGCGCUUCGGCAAGGAUGCUGGCGUAAUGG